rnacentral:lncRNA from 1 species
UAUCUAAUAAAACUUAAGCAUAGAUAUGAUGAAUAGUUGCUCUGCCUAAUUUGCAAAUUUGAAGUUCUCUCUCAAGUUUAGAUAUAACUGUUAUAAUUUAAGGCUUGCUCUAGACCUAAACUUGUGGGAUGAAAACUUGAUCUGAAGUCUAAGUUGUUAACAGAUAUGAUAUGGGAAGGUUGAGCUGCUGUUUAUCUGUUCCUAGAGAUGCUAGAAUUCUGGAGAAUUUUAUCUUUGAAAAUCUUUAAAAUGUUGCAUGAUGAGUUCCUAUAUGAUGAGAGUUUAAAUUCCUACCACAGCCAUAUAUACAUGCUUGCUAGACUUUGAGCCACACAUUUAUUAUUUACUGCUUAUGAGCAUUGAGUGUGGUCAAGCUGUGUAGACCCUUAGGAGCUUGUCAUGUGGUUAAAUCAAGAUUUCACUUGCACGUUCACUCAUAUAUGCUACUUCUACUCCGGAAGUACCAUCCACAUAUAUCCAUCCAUUUCCAUCUCCAGAAUCACCCAAAAAUAUUCUACUCCUAAUCCGGGAGAGAAUAACCAAAAAUAUUUCUGUUUUCCCCUUGUGAAAUAAAUGCUCAAGUUAUCUUGUUACUACCACUUGCUAUAUUAUCUCAAGAGAUGAAUGCUCUGAAAAAAAAGAGAAAAAAAAGAGAUACGAGGAAAUAAAAAGGAGCAAGUGCUCGGAACCUCGAAAGAAAAGAAAAAGUGAGACGAGAGGUAAAAAUAGACAAGUGUCCGACAGUAGAAUUAGGGGUACAAGAUACCCACCUGAGAGACAAGAAAAAGGAGAGCAUUUCAUUCUCCUCAUAAAGUUUCAAAAGCAAGGAAGGUAUGUAUCCCCUCAAAGAGCAAAGUAGAAUUAGACUUCCACCACCAUUGUUUUCACCAUUGUUAUCAUCAUCACCAUACACCAUUCAUUCACCACACAUACACAUCUUGAUUUGGCUUAUUGAUUUGUUUCUUUGGAUCCAUGGUUUGACUAUGCAAUAAAUGUCUUGUAAGUAUGUAUACUUUAUCUCCCACCUAUGAGCUCCAGAUAUUAAAGCCUUAUUAGAGUAGGGUGAGAGAGAAGGCAAUGUCACUAUGCCUCAUACCACAAAUACUACAUAUUUUGAGAGAAGGCAUAUACCAUCACUGCCUUGGUAAGGAUCCAAAAAUACCACAAAAGAGAGACCUGAGAGAAUCAUACAAGGAAUUUCUGAGUUUUAUUUGAAAAUCUGCAAAAACCCCAGAGCUAUAGCUGAUCAAGAAUAAGAGACAUGGCACUUGGCUAGACUGUUCUAUCUUUUAACUACUCAAGACAGAAGUGACGGUUACAAGUCCCAUGGUGAAGGUAAAGUAAGUAAGUUUUAAGUUUUGACAGUUUACUCUAACUCAGAGAUGAGAUUUUAUCUAAAAAGCAUGUGUACCGUCAAUUUUUAAAAUAUUGCAACAACUUAUGAUCCAUAGCUGAGUCUAUCCUUGCUCAGGGACGAGCAAGAGGUAAGCUUCGGGGAGUUUGUUGACGGUCCUUAAGUAUCAAAUUUAAUUGUCAAAUAAAUAAAGAAAAGGAUCCAAAUGAAAUCAAGAUCUAGACUUAGGGUUUUAUCUGACAGAAUUCCAUGAGUUUUGGUGUUUGUCUAUUUCUGCAGGGGGUUAUCAGGAAAUAUGGAAGAAAGGCCCACAUGUCGGGAUUACGUAAAGAUAUUAACGUGCUGUGCAGUUAUCUUACAUCUAGAAGACUCCAGAAGCCACGAGACCGAAGCGAAGGCGAAAUGGGGCCAGAGGCAGGGCACCCGCCCUCCUGCCCUGGGCGCCCGCCCCCUCCCUGAGUCCAAUCAGGACUCUGCUUCGUGGGAGAUCUCCACCGACCUAAAGGAUGAAUCUAAACCAUACAAUCUAUGUCGGUUUGAUCCAAUGGCCCAUAUUCACUUGAAGGGACUAUAAAACCAGACCCCCUGGCCCCUGGAGGAGAGAGCCUCUCAACCCGAAUUCAUUGUUCCAUCAAGGGAGAAGAAGCCUCUGAUCAAGAUUAGAGCCACCACAUCAAUUAGACAUCU